rnacentral:rRNA from 1 species
UACGUAGGGGCCGAGCGUUGUCCGGAGUUAUUGGGCGUAAAGCGCGCGCAGGCGGCUUCGCGCGUCCGACGUGAAAGCCCCCGGCUUAACCGGGGAGGGUCGUUGGGUACGGCGGAGCUUGAGGGCGGGAGAGGGUGGUGGAAUUCCCGGUGUAGUGGUGAAAUGCGUAGAGAUCGGGAGGAACACCAGUGGCGAAGGCGACUACCUGGCCUGUUCUUGACGCUGAGGCGCGAAAGCUAGGGGAGCAAACGGG